rnacentral:snRNA from 1 species
UCACUUCUGAUUAGUAACAUAAUUGAUGUUGGAACUACAGAGAAGAUUGGCAUGGCCCUGCACAAGGAUGACGUGCAAGUUAUUUUAAAUGUCUGCUCUAUGU